CGCUUAUGCCUUUGUAUUGUACAUUUGUGCUGAGCUUGUAGAGCGUGUCAGAGGUUGGCAACGUUUGGCUAGAAGCAACGAACCGUAUUUGUAUUUCGGCAAUGCUAGCCGCUUUCGUAUCGAAAACGUCUUCGUUCGUCCAUCAGUUGUUCGUCACAUGUUCGACGUGAAUGAAUGUGAAUAUCCCGUACACGUCGUUUGAUCCGCAUAUGAAAAAAAAUCCAAAUUAGCUAAUCAAAAAGCGAGAAAUACUAUUUGCCGAUUUUAUUCUGUGUGUGUGUGUUUACUGUAAAAUUGUACAAGUAGAAAAUGAAAUUAAAAAAUUAAAUUAAAAAAAAAUAAAAAAAAAUCCGAAACAUUUCCGUUCGCAUAAAUACUUUUUCGAAAACCACGUUGCGCUAAAUUUUGCAUUGAAAAGAAUAAAAACGUGCGCGCACAAAACAACGACAAGUCUUUAAGGCGAAGAAAAUCCCCAUCAAUACAAACAAAUACUCGAAGUUUAGUGCGGCGCGCGAAAAAUAACAACAACGCAUUUCGGCGGCGACGUAAACAGUGAGUGCGUGCUUGUUGUCAGAUAACCUUCAAGAAAAGUAGAUACAUCUGUAUGUAUGUAUGUACUUACAUAUUUAGUAGUAGAAGAUAACGUCCAAAAAAAUACAUUCGAAAAGGUGCUAGAAACCACCAGAAAGAGCAAACAAUUCAAGUUGAAAGUGUGCAACAGCAACAAAAUAGGUUAAAAAGUGUGAAGUGUCAAUCAUAAACAACUAUAUAUGUAUGUCUAUUUGUGUAAAUAAAUUAAAGAAAAUAUACUCUUUAAGCAAAGCCAAGCCAGGUCAUACAAGCGCUCACACAAAGAAAAAGAUCCAAAUAAUUUAAAAUAAAAAUAAAAUAAAUAUCAAAGAAAUACAAAAAAAAAAAAAUAAAUGUAAAACAUUAAAAAAAAUAUUAAUUAUAAAAGCUUAUUGUGGAGAAUUUACUCACCUAAGUUAAUCGUAGCGCAUGAGCGGAGAGUUCCAGGCGGAAGAGAGUGUGAAGAUCGCGUCAGCAUAUAAAAGUGUAGAGAGAGUGUAGAGAACGAGUCGUGCGAAUGAUUAGACGGCAAAGGUGAAAGCGGAAAGUGAAAUUAAAAAAAUUUGAAAGAAAACGAAUAACGAACAGAUAAAGUUAAAGAGAAGGUUGGAGAGAAAGCAAGGCGAAUACAUAAAUGAAUAUAAAAAUAAAAAAUUACCAACAAAUUUUCAGUUAACUCAGCAAGGGUGGUGAGCGGCAUAUUGCGCAGUCUAUACUAACGGCCUAACAACACCAACGACGACGACAAACAACGAA